UACGUAGGGUGCGAGCGUUAAUCGGAAUUACUGGGCGUAAAGCGUGCGCAGGCGGUUCGUUGUGUCGGCGGUGAAAGCCCCGGGCUUAACCCUGGGAAUGGCCGUUGAAACUGGCGAACUGGAGUGUGGCAGAGGGGGGUGGAAUUCCGCGUGUAGCAGUGAAAUGCGCAGAUAUCAGGAGGAACACCGGUGGCGAAGGCGGGACGUCGUGGGC
rnacentral:rRNA from 1 species